rnacentral:misc_RNA from 1 species
UCCCCGUUACCGAGGCAGUCUGGCUAGAAAAAUACAACUAACCAUAAGGGUUGCGCUCGUUGAAGGACUUAACCUAACAUCUCACGACACGAGCUGACGACGGCCAUGCAACACCUGUCACUAGGUUCCAAAAGGCACUCACUACUUUCGUAGUAAUUCCUAGGAUGUCAAACCCUGGUAAGGUUUUUGGCUUAUCAUCCAAUUAAUCAACAUGCUCCACCGCUUGUGCGGGUCCCCGUCAAUUCCUUUGAGUUUUAAUCUUGCGACCGUACUCCUCAGGCGGGAUGCUUAACGCGUUAGCUGUGCUACUGACCGGGUCGAUACGGCCAACAGCUAGCAUCCAUAGUUUACGGCGUGGACUAC